rnacentral:rRNA from 1 species
UAGAUGCGAGAGUAGAGCAUAUCAAUAAGCGGAGGAAAAGAAACUAACUAAGGAUUCCCUCAGUAACGGCGAGUGAAGCGGGAAGAGCUCAAAUUUGAAAUCUUCAAGGUUUUACCUUGACGAAUUGUAGUUUAAAGAAGUGUUUUCUGUUGGAGUUUUGGUAAAAGUUCUUUGGAAUAGGACAUCAUAGAGGGUGAGAAUCCCGUAUUUGACCAUUAUUUCCAGCUGUGUGAUACACUUUCAAAGAGUCGGAUUGUUUGGGAAUGCAGUCCAAAAUGGGUGGUAAAUUUCAUCUAGAGCUAAAUAUUGGCGAGAGACCGAUAGCGAACAAGUACCGUGAGGGAAAGAUGAAAAGAACUUUGAAAAGAGAGUUAAACAGUACGUGAAAUUGUCAAAAGGGAAGCGUUUGACACCAGUGUUGUUUUUCCGAAAAUCAAUUAUGAAUGGCUUGAUUUUAAGUUUCAUGACCUUAAAAGCUUGUUUCUUAUUUUUCAUGUCUUUCGUAAUGCACUUUUCGGUUAACAAGUCAACAUCAAUUUCCUUCGUUGUAAAAGGUUAGGAGGAAGGUGGCUUUACUUUCGGGUAAAGUGUUUAUAGCCUUUUAACUCUGCAAUCGGAGAGAUUGAGGUCUGCAGCGUAGAUCCUUCGGGGUUAGAUACGUUUGUGCUAAGUCAUAGCUUUUCAUAGACAACUUGUUGACUAUGUUAAGUCUUGUAAUUUACUCGCAGAUGCUAUUUUACCUACGCUUAGGAUGUUGACACACGCGCGUGCUCG